GUCUGCUGGGUGGCUCAGUGCUUACACGUUGGGCUUGAGACCGAGGGGUUCCAGGUUCGAAUCCUGGCUGGGACA